rnacentral:rRNA from 1 species
AGAGUUUGAUCCUGGCUCAGGACGAACGCUGGCGGCGUGCCUAACACAUGCAAGUCGAGCGGAGCCAACCGAAUGAAGCCUUCGGGUGAAUUUUGGUGAAGCUUAGCGGCGGACGGGUGAGUAACGCGUGAGUAACCUGCCUAUAAGAGGGGGAUAACACAGAGAAAUUUGUGCUAAUACCGCAUAUUGAGUAAAUACCGCAUGAUAUAUACUUGAAAGAUUUAUCGCUUAUAGAUGGACUCGCGUCUGAUUAGAUAGUUGGUAGGGUAACGGCCUACCAAGUCGACGAUCAGUAGCCGAACUGAGAGGUUGAUCGGCCACAUUGGGACUAAGACACGGCCCAGACUCCUACGGGAGGCAGCAGUGGGGGAUAUUGCGCAAUGGGGGAAACCCUGACGCAGCAACGCCGCGUGCAGGAAGAAGGCCUUCGGGUUGUAAACUGUUGUCGCAAGGGAAGAAGACAGUGACGGUACCUUGUGAGAAAGCCACGGCUAACUACGUGCCAGCAGCCGCGGUAAUACGUAGGUGGCGAGCGUUGUCCGGAUUUACUGGGUGUAAAGGGCGCGUAGGCGGGACAUCAAGUCAGUCGUGAAAUACCGAGGCUCAACCUCGGGGCUGCGAUUGAAACUGAUAUUCUUGAGUGUCGGAGAGGAAAGCGGAAUUCCUAGUGUAGCGGUGAAAUGCGUAGAUAUUAGGAGGAACACCGGUGGCGAAGGCGGCUUUCUGGACGAUAACUGACGCUGAGGCGCGAAAGCGUGGGGAGCAAACAGGAUUAGAUACCCUGGUAGUCCACGCUGUAAACGAUGAAUGCUAGGUGUGGGAGUGCAAACUUCCGUGCCGCAGUUAACACAAUAAGCAUUCCACCUGGGGAGUACGGCCGCAAGGUUGAAACUCAAAGGAAUUGACGGGAGCCCGCACAAGCAGUGGAGUAUGUGGUUUAAUUCGACGCAACGCGAAGAACCUUACCAGGAUUUGACAUCCCGAGAACCCGACGUAAUGGUUGGGGUGCUCUUCGGAGAAUUCGGAGACAGGUGGUGCAUGGUUGUCGUCAGCUCGUGUCGUGAGAUGUUGGGUUAAGUCCCGCAACGAGCGCAACCCUUACGUUUAGUUGCUACGCAAGAGCACUCUAGACGGACUGCCGUUGACAAAACGGAGGAAGGCGGGGAUGACGUCAAAUCAUCAUGCCCCUUACAUUCUGGGCUACACACGUACUACAAUGGCGAAAACAAAGGGAAGCAAUACCGCGAGGUGGAGCAAACCCCAUAAAAGUCGUCCCAGUUCGGACUGCAGGCUGCAACCCGCCUGCACGAAGUUGGAAUUGCUAGUAAUCGCGGAUCAGCAUGCCGCGGUGAAUAUGUUCCCGGGCUUUGCACACACCGCCCGUCA